GUUAUGUUUACAAAUGUGUAUUUCAUGUCUCAGAACCGAACACACGCAUCGCAAAUAUGAUAUCUUUCAAUCUAAAGAAGACUGUAAUACAACGAGCAGUGUAUUUAGUCAAGUAUUCAAUCGCGAUAACGCGAUAUCUGUUGACACGAUUACACACAAUGGGUCAUGAAAUAUACGAUCCGCUAGUAAGUGUAUAAGUCAAUUAUAAUCACGUGAAAAACAGAAUAAGCUGGCGUUUGUUUUGUUAAAAGAUUACACAAAACAACUAAAACACAGAAUUCGCAAAGCAAUCCAUUGGUGGCUGGGCAUCACUGACGAAGAAACGGAAGGCAUUUGGAAAUGGUUUGACGACGACAGUGUCGCUACGUACACAGACUUUCAGCCGGAUGACCACGAAACUCUCGACAAGGAUUGUUUGAUAUUUACGUCCGUUAAUGAUUUCCAUUAGGCUGACGUACACUGUUCAUAUAAGUGUCCACCAAUAUGUGAAAUAAGGUACUCAUUUUGAUAUGCAUAUUGUCACCAGCUAUUCAUUAUAUCGUCUAGAUAUAUUCCCAUUUUGCAAAACAGACACACGUUUGAUUAAAACGUUCAAUGAGAGUAUUUAUAUUCAAAUUGUAUUUCAAACUAUAUACUUUUCUAUAAAUGUCCACAAUCUGAUUUUUGCCCUUCUUUAAGAUGUAUCGAAAAUAUCUUUGUUAAUUGAAAUGAAAAAUUUAUUUUAAAACUGUCAUUGGUUGCCUUCGUUUCAUUACACAAACCAUGCUAAUAUAAAGUGUUUAUUAUGAAGGUCAAUACAUUUGCUAACAACAAUGAUAGAUCAAUCGGUUGAAUUAUAUACAAUAUAUACAUUUUGUAGUAGCUAUAAAAUAGACGAUUUCGGAGACUUGUUUUUCUUUCACUCGCAUACAGGUUAGUAUGGACAUUUUAGUUGAAUGCAUAUCAGCCUUAAAGCGAGAUUAUACGAUUUUGUCAAAUAUUUUUGAAUUUAUAUAACAUGUGUAAAAAACUAAUUUUAUAUAUUUCAAUAUAAAUGAAAAUAAAAGUUGAUAGAACAUGUGGCGAAAAAUGCGAAAUGAACCGGAUAUUUAAUUAUGAAAUCGAAAAUGUCUAUACAGUCGAAUUCUUUGUUAAUUGAAAUGAAAAAUUUAUUUUAAAACUGUCAUUGGUUGCCUUCGUUUCAUUACACAAACCAUGCUAAUAUAAAGUGUUUAUUAUGAAGGUCAAUACAUUUGCUAACAACAAUGAUAGAUCAAUCGGUUGAAUUAUAUACAAUAUAUACAUUUUGUAGUAGCUAUAAAAUAGACGAUUUCGGAGACUUGUUUUUCUUUCACUCGCAUACAGGUUAGUAUGGACAUUUUAGUUGAAUGCAUAUCAGCCUUAAAGCGAGAUUAUACGAUUUUGUCAAAUAUUUUUGAAUUUAUAUAACAUGUGUAAAAAACUAAUUUUAUAUAUUUCAAUAUAAAUGAAAAUAAAAGUUGAUAGAACAUGUGGCGAAAAAUGCGAAAUGAGCCGGAUAUUUAAUUAUGAAAUCGAAAAUGUCUAUACAGUCGAAUUCGCCAGCAUGUAUAUCAUGAAUGUACGAUGUGAAUCUAAAUUAAGUUUUAGUGCAGAUUCGUUCAUACAACACAAAGACACAAAUUUGUUUUACGGAUUAUGUUAAUUUCCUGCAACGAUAUCAUACGGCACACGAAAACCAACUCCGAUCCUAAUAAAAAAGACGAAUGCUUCGGUUAUUGUAGGAAAAUAUGUACGAAAUAUACUCUUCACAAUCGGCUAGGGGCGCUUAUUUGUCUUUGCUGCAUUUUAUGAAUUUCGUCUUCAAUGUAUAUUUUUUCUUGCCAAUUUUGUGUUAUUGUAACAUAUUUUUAUCACUUUAUUACAAUUUAACACAUAUAAAUAUCGUAUAAUAUCUCUUUAAUACUAAUGUAGUUGUUGUCUUUGGAAAAAGACGGUGUCGGAGUUGGGACGAACUUAUUAAAACGAUUAAUAUAUUAGUUUUGUGAAUUAAUAUUCUACUUACAUGUCAAAACUUUCUGUGACUUUUUUUAACAUAAAACAUAUAUCUUACGUUUCAGAUCGGAACACAUCGAGCCAGGAGUUGUUGGCUAACACACAAACAGCUACCUAAAAUAUUGGUAGAUGUUGGAUUUCGAGCGUGUCCCAUAUAUUAGUGUGUUCGUUAAUUUUCAUUUACUUAAAACAUUUGGACGCAUUCAAUUAUUGAAAUUAAACGAUACAUAAUAUAGAG